rnacentral:tRNA from 1 species
GCGCUUGUAGCUCAGUAGGAUAGAGCAUCGGCCUUCUAAGCCGAGGGUCGCAGGUUCGAAUCCUGCCAAGCGUGCCA